UCGAAGAAAAAUUGCUCGCGUACACGCUCUUGGAAAGUCUUUCCUUUAUUAUCGUCGUGGUGGACAUACUUACGUAUGUAUAUACGUAUACACGUACGUACCGAUGUAAGAGAAGCUAAAGGUUAAACAAAAGUGGCACGCCCGAACCAACUCGAAAGUUCCGUUUCUUCGAAAUACUUCUGACAAAUAAUAAAAACGAAUAAGAUAUAAGAAAGGAAAGAAUCGAUCGUUCUCCUGGACGGUCUUACAAAAUUACAUGUCCAUCCGUAGAGCGGAUUAACGGUACGAUUUAACUGACGUCACGUUCUUUUUACUCGCGGUUCUUAGCUCCGAGCAUACUCGUUCAACGCCGAGGACCACGGGCCCCGUUUUUACGACCUUUCGUUUCUUCCACGUACGUUGUACAAGUUCGAGUACAAGUUCGAAUUCGCUCGAUUGAAGACGGACGUCCGGAUUUUCGCGGCGAUUAAUUAACGUCGAUGUCAACCUUCGAGCCUUUCGAAUCGUCCAAGUACUCGACUACUCCGCGAGGUUACCGCGUCGAGCGUUAAUACCGAUUAACGAGCGGAAACUCGACUAAAAGUCUAUUCCGUUGUUGUUCUCUCUUUCAUUUUCACGAAUACCCUAUUUAAUACAACGAAACAAAAAGACACUCCGCCCAUGCGAACGGACAAUUAGAAGCUGGAGAGAAAGAGAAAGAGAGAGAAGUCAAGUCGCAGAGGAUUUGAUAAAAUUGAUUUCUCUCGUUCUCUCGAUGAUAUCACGAUCACGCUGCAUCGCUGCUCACGAGUGCGAUUCACUUCCGAAUGGAACAAACGAACGGAGUAAAUAAUUUAUUCAGAUAUUCCAAAGACGUUCACACCCAUGGCGCUCGUCGGUGACGUAACUGUAAACAAGAGAGCCGGAGAGAAUUGAUUAAACUCGUCCAUACGAACGAAAAUGGGGGAUGGACAAAUGACGACAAAGACGCAAAGACACCGGUGUAUCUUAUCGCCCUCAACAAAAUAAGAAGAGAGAGAGAGAGAGAGAGAGAGAGAGAGAGAGAGAGAGAGAGAGAGAGAGAGAGAGAGAGAGGUCAACGAUACCGAAGCCAGAGUGGGUGCGAGUGGGCGGUAUAAUCUAAGAAAAUCUACGGUCGACUUCUCUUCUCUCUCUAUCUCUCUCUCUCAUUUGUCAAAAGUCGGCUCGUCGUUAGUCGCCUGCGACCUUAACGUUUUACUGUCACUUGAUCCACGCACGCUUUUGACAGUGACUCAGAUCCGAAUCCAGUCGAAUGACGAAAUCGAUCGUUCACGAUGAAGACGAAAACGAAGAGUGCUCUUGCCAGUAGGAGAAAUGCUAACUAUGAGAGGAGACACCCUUCUUCUUGAAAAUUGAUGCGAGUGCUCGCAUAGACGCGGAUUGAAGAGCCAUAUAAAAGUCCUUCCCUCCAAGUUCCCUCCUCUUAAAAGAAGGGAGGAGAAUAGGGCGAAUCGAUCAACGACCGGACGCGGAUGACUGAAAGCGCGAGUUUACGAGUUCACGCAUCGACGGGUAAAAGCGACCUGCUUGCUCGCCUCGACAGAGCGAUCCGAUGGGAAGAAGAGCGAGAAUUGGGUCAACCGUUGGCGACGAACGACAGCGGUUCUCGGUCCACGUCUUGACAGGUGAACAAAGCGAAAGAGGAAGAGGGAUGGAGAACAUGAAAUAUCCAUCGAAUAAAGAAUAGAGAGGGAGGUACUUACUUCCUCGUCGCCUUUGAUCUACCAACCGUAGAUACGUUUUAAUCGGCAUUGAGAUGAUGCUGGAGAAGAACGGGACGCGAUUCCAUUUGUAAGGUAGAAAGGGAGAAAGAGAGGGGCAAAAAGAGACACGUUCGCCCGGUGGAAUCGAUGCCAAGGAACGAGGCGAAUCGCAACGAGGCAAAAUGCUCUUUCGUAGAAAAUAACAUUCUUCCGCGAUGAUUGAUUCACACCCACGCGAUGUUUUGCAUUUUAAAUCCGUAAAAAUGAUUAAAAAUAUUGAAACGAACGAUAGAUCGGAUCAAAUGAAAGAAAGAGAGAAACGAGAGAGGAAAAGAGAGAGAGGGAGGGGGAGAGAGAGAGAGAGAGAAACAGAGAGAGAUAGGAGACUCCGUCGUUGCCGCACGCCAUUUUUAUGUCGACGAUCUGGCCGUCUCGUGAUAAUCGAUAGAAAAUCUAAUUGAUCUUGUCUUUUUUGAAAUGAAACUGUUCGAUCGGUUGCACUUACCCUUACGAAGGGACACCCUGCUACACCGUUCUAUCCUGCAACUCGCAUAAAAUCCCGCCCAAGUACACCAAAAAAACCACCGACGACAAGUCCGUCCGCACACUCGACCGGCGCGCAACCGACUGACCGCGCACGGCGUCGGCCUACGCCGUCGACAGCUAGUUCCGCCCACUGAGCGCGCUGAUUCGCUGAACAAUGAAAAUGUCGUGUUCUACCUUAUCGAGAUAUGUUUGCAAAUAUACGCCGCUUCGAAAAGAAACUGAAAGAAAUGCUUUCAUGUUUAUGUUUUCGCGUUAAGAGAAUAAUAAGUGGAAUAAAUACGAAUGAAAAAGUUUUCCUAUUCUUGACAAUAUUUUUCUUUGUCAACAAAAAUUUACGUAAUAUCUAAUAUUAUUUUCACAAUUAAAAUGGUAGGUCGUUUAGUUGUAUGUAUACUUUGUUACUGGUAACAGCAACAUACUAAUAUAUAAUUGGUAUAUUUAUUAACCUUAGAUCUUUUUCGUACAUACAUCGUAUAUUUUUGUCGAAGUAGAAGACGUAAUCGUGUCUGUGUUCAUUCGCAAUACUAUACGUUACUUUCCAUUGCUCACGUAAUGUAUACAUAAUUUUUGUUAUAUGAAUUCUAUAAAAACUAAACGUGUUAAGCUUCGACGUCGUUAUUAAAGAAAAGUAACGGUGCUUGGAAUGGUUAAAUCUGUUUUCUCGAGAAGGAGGAUUGAAUUUCUGUAAUAAUUAUUAAAUUACAUUUCAAUGUGCGUCUACAAAAAUCGGAAACCGGUAAGAAGCAUUCAGACCGGUAGAAGCAUCCGUACUUGUAUGUAUGUACCUGCGUGCUUGCGUGCAGGCGUAGGAAUACAAGAUAUCGUCUAUGACAUCAUCGGCCCUGUUUAUAACACAUUCUGGAUCGGGCACGCCCCAUCUUCUAUAUAUUCCUUGUUAUCUUAACUUUUAUAAUUUUUUCUCUCUAAACAUUUAUGAUCGUUGGAAAUAUAAUAAAUCGAUAUUUAUCAUUAUUUUUAUAGUCAUCGUAAGAAACAUUUGUACUUGCUGCUUUAUAAAAUCAAAUUCCUGCCACUCAGUUUUAUUUCCAGUCAUGUGAGUUUUCAAAUAUCUGUCUUGUUAUACUAUUUUUUUUUAAAUAUAUGUAAGAAGUGGUAAAUAUAA